rnacentral:rRNA from 1 species
UGGGGAAUAUUGCACAAUGGGGGAAACCCUGAUGCAGCGACGCCGCGUGAGCGAAGAAGGUUUUUGAAUCGUAAAGCUCUGUCCUAUGAGAAGAUAAUGACGGUACCAUAGGAGGAAGCCCCGGCUAAAUACGUGCCAGCAGCCGCGGUAAUACGUAUGGGGCGAGCGUUGUCCGGAAUUAUUGGGCGUAAAGGGUACGUAGGCGGUCUAUUAAGUCAGGUGUGAAAGCGUGAGGAUUAACCUCAUUAAGCACUUGAAACUGAUAGACUUGAGUGAAGGAGAGGAAAGUGGAAUUCCUAGUGUAGCGGUGAAAUGCGUAGAUAUUAGGAGGAAUACCGGUGGCGAAGGCGACUUUCUGGACUUUUACUGACGCUCAGGUACGAAAGCGUGGGGAGCAAACAGG